rnacentral:rRNA from 1 species
UACGAAGGGGGCGAGCGUUGUUCGGAAUUACUGGGCGUAAAGGGCGUGUAGGCGGCCCCUUUUGUCGAGUGUGAAAGCCCCGAGCUUAACUUGGGAACUGCGCUCGAAACUACUUGGCUAGAGUGUGGCAGAGGGAGGUGGAAUUCCACGUGUAGCGGUGAAAUGCGCAGAGAUCGGGAGGAACACCCGUAGCGAAGGCGGCACUCUGGGCCGGUACUGACGCUGAGGAGCGAAAGCGUGGGGAGCAAACAGG